UUGACCUCGGAUCAGGUAGGAGUACCCGCUGAACUU
rnacentral:rRNA from 2 species